rnacentral:tRNA from 1 species
AGCAGUCUAGGUUAAAUUGUAGAGUACUACUUGUUUUCAAAAUAAGAGGAGGUUUGUGCCGAUUGCUG